AGCUCAGCUGGAUUAGAGCACCGGCCUACGAAGCCGGGGGUCGUAGGUUCGAAUCCUACC
rnacentral:tRNA from 1 species